GGUUCGAUUCGAGCGUCAGCGAGAAAGCGUUGCCGCAGGCAACGACCCGAAGGGCGAAGCGCGCAGCGCUGAGUCAUCCUUCCCCCAUCACCA
rnacentral:sRNA from 1 species